GACAGAGGGGGCAAGCGUUGCUCGGAAUUACUGGGCGUAAAGGGCGCGUAGGCGGAAUGGCAAGUCGGUCGUGAAAUCCUUCGGCUCAACCGAAGAACGUCGAUCGAAACUGCCGUUCUUGAGGAUUGCAGAGGAGACUGGAAUUCCCGGUGUAGCGGUGAAAUGUGUAGAGAUCGGGAGGAACACCGGUGGCGAAGGCGGCCUGCUGGGCAGUAGCUGACGCUGAGGCGCGAAAGCCAGGGGAGCAAACGGG
rnacentral:rRNA from 1 species